UUGGGAUAAUUCUUAGUUAUUAGAUAUUUAGAUAGUAUUAUAUGCGUGUUAGCGCAUGAGCCACACAUAGGAUUUUGAUUAAAAGCGGGUGGAGCUUAAGCAAGAAAGUUUGGAAUUGGAUUUUGAUGCCAUAUCAAUACUUCUGCACAAGUACAGCAGCUUUCGUGCAUAUGGCCAAUCAAAGCUUGCUAACAUUUUGCAUGCUAAUGAGCUUGCAAGACGCUUAAAGGAAGAAGGAGCAGAUAUAACCGCAAACUCGCUUCACC